rnacentral:rRNA from 1 species
GGCACCCUGAUGGAGCACGCCGCGUGAAGGAUGAAGGCCCUAGGGUCGUAAACUUCUUUUGUUAGCGAGGAAUAUGACAGUAACUAACGAAUAAGGGUCGGCUAACUACGUGCCAGCAGCCGCGGUCAUACGUAGGACCCAAGCGUUAUCCGGAGUGACUGGGCGUAAAGAGUUGCGUAGGCGGUCUGUAAAGCGAAUAGUGAAAUCUGAUGGCUCAACCAUCAAUACAUUAUUCGAACUCACAGACUCGAGAAUGGUAGAGGUAGCUGGAAUUUCUAGUGUAGGGGUAAUAUCCGUAGAUAUUAGAAGGAACACCAAUGGCGUAGGCAGGCUACUGGACCAUUUCUGACGCUGAGGCACGAAAGCGUGGGGAGCGAACCGGAUUAGAUACCCGGGUAGUCCACGCCGUAAACGAUGGAUGCUAGCUGUGGGGGGUAUCGACCCCCUCCGUAGCGAAGCUAACGCGUUAAGCAUCCCGCCUGUGGAGUACGGCCGCAAGGCUAAAACAUAAAGGAAUUGACGGGGACCCGCACAAGCGGUGGAGCGUGUUCUUUAAUUCGAUGGUAAACGAAGAACCUUACCAGGGCUUGACAUCCCUUGAAUUUUGUCGAAAGACGAGAGUGCUUUAUUGAACAAGGUGACAGGUGAUGCAUGGCCGUCGUCAGCUCGUGUCGUGAGAUGUUUGGUUAAGUCCUUCAACGAGCGCAACCCUUAUAGUUAGUUGAUUUUUCUAGCUAGACUGCCCCGGUAACGGGGAGGAAGGAGGGGAUGAUGUCAGGUCAGUAUUUCCUUUGCGUCCUGGGCUAGAAACGCGCUACAAUGGCCGGUACAACGGGCAGCUAAGUCGCGAGACGGAGCAAAUCCCAUCAAAGCCGGUCCCAGUUCGGAUAAGAGGCUGAAA